rnacentral:piRNA from 1 species
ACCGUACCGAGCGUCUCAAAGAAUG